rnacentral:rRNA from 1 species
GAUGAACGCUAGCUACAGGCUUAACACAUGCAAGUCGAGGGGAAACGGCAUUAAGUGCUUGCACUUUUUGGACGUCGACCGGCGCACGGGUGAGUAACGCGUAUCCAACCUUCCCAUGACUAAGGGAUAACCUGCCGAAAGGCAGACUAAUACCUUAUGGUCUUCACUGACGGCAUCAGAUGUGAAGUAAAGAUUUAUCGGUUAUGGAUGGGGAUGCGUCUGAUUAGUUAGUUGGCGGGGUAACGGCCCGCCAAGGCAACGAUCAGUAGGGGUUCUGAGAGGAAGGUCCCCCACAUUGGAACUGAGACACGGUCCAAACUCCUACGGGAGGCAGCAGUGAGGAAUAUUGGUCAAUGGGCGAGAGCCUGAACCAGCCAAGUAGCGUGCAGGAUGACGGCCCUAUGGGUUGUAAACUGCUUUUGUAUGGGGAUAAAGUCAAUCACGUGUGAUUGUUUGCAGGUACCAUACGAAUAAGGACCGGCUAAUUCCGUGCCAGCAGCCGCGGUAAUACGGAAGGUCCGGGCGUUAUCCGGAUUUAUUGGGUUUAAAGGGAGCGUAGGCUGGAGAUUAAGUGUGUUGUGAAAUGUAGACGCUCAACGUCUGACUUGCAGCGCAUACUGGUUUCCUUGAGUACGCACAACGUUGGCGGAAUUCGUCGUGUAGCGGUGAAAUGCUUAGAUAUGACGAAGAACUCCGAUUGCGAAGGCAGCUGACGGGAGCGCAACUGACGCUGAAGCUCGAAGGUGCGGGUAUCGAACAGG